rnacentral:rRNA from 1 species
GAUGAACGCUGGCGGCGUGCCUAAUACAUGCAAGUCGAGCGAACAGACGAGGAGCUUGCUCCUCUGACGUUAGCGGCGGACGGGUGAGUAACACGUGGAUAACCUACCUAUAAGACUGGGAUAACUUCGGGAAACCGGAGCUAAUACCGGAUAAUAUAUUGAACCGCAUGGUUCAAUAGUGAAAGACGGUUUUGCUGUCACUUAUAGAUGGAUCCGCGCCGCAUUAGCUAGUUGGUAAGGUAACAGCUUACCAAGGCAACGAUGCGUAGCCGACCUGAGAGGGUGAUCGGCCACACUGGAGCUGAGACACGGUCCAGACUCCUACGGGAGGCAGCAGUAGGGAAUCUUCCGCAAUGGGCGAAAGCCUGACGGAGCAACGCCGCGUGAGUGAUGAAGGUCUUCGGAUCGUAAAACUCUGUUAUUAGGGAAGAACAAAUGUGUAAGUAACUAUGCACGUCUUGACGGUACCUAAUCAGAAAGCCACGGCUAACUACGUG